GGCUCCGUAGUGUAGUGGUUAGCACAUCUGCUUUACAUGCCUGGGUUCGCACCCCAGGUGGAGCCA
rnacentral:tRNA from 1 species